rnacentral:rRNA from 1 species
GUUAUAUGGUCAAGCGACUAAGCGCAUACGGUGGAUGCCUUGGCAGUCAGAGGCGAUGAAGGACGUAGUAGCCUGCGAAAAGCUUCGGGGAGUCGGCAAACAGACUUUGAUCCGGGGAUAUCCGAAUGGGGAAACCCACCUGGUGUAAGCCAGGUACCCUGCACUGAAUACAUAGGUGUAGGGGGCGAACGGGGGGAACUGAAACAUCUAAGUACCCCUAGGAAGAGAAAUCAAUUGAGAUUCCCUCAGUAGCGGCGAGCGAACGGGGAAUAGCCUGCAAGUGAUAGCAUUUGGGUUAGUGGAACGGUCUGGAAAGUCCGGCGAUAGAGGGUGAUAGCCCCGUACGCGAAAACCCGAGUGUGGUACUGAGCUUGCGACAAGUAGGUCGGGACACGUGUUAUCUUGACUGAAUAUGGGGGGACCAUCCUCCAAGGCUAAAUACUACUGACUGACCGAUAGUGAACCAGUACCGUGAGGGAAAGGCGAAAAGAACCCCGGAGAGGGGAGUGAAAUAGAACCUGAAACCGUAUGCGUACAAGCAGUGGGAGCAGACUUGUUCUGUGACUGCGUACCUUUUGUAUAAUGGGUCAGCGACUUAUUGUCUGUAGCGAGCUUAACCGUUUAGGGGAGGCGUAGGGAAACCGAGUCUUAACAGGGCGACAUAGUUGCAGGCAAUAGACCCGAAACCGGGCGAUCUAUCCAUGGCCAGGUUGAAGGUGCCGUAACAGGCACUGGAGGACCGAACCCACGUAUGUUGAAAAAUGCGGGGAUGAGCUGUGGAUCGGAGUGAAAGGCUAAUCAAGCCCGGAGAUAGCUGGUUCUCCUCGAAAUCUAUUUAGGUAGAGCCUCGCGUCUUACCCUGGGGGGUAGAGCACUGUUUGGGCUAGGGGGUCAUCCCGACUUACCAACCCCAUGCAAACUCCGAAUACCCAGGAGUACAAUCGCGGGAGACAGACGGCGGGUGCUAACGUCCGUCGUCGAGAGGGCAACAACCCAGACCGCCAGCUAAGGUCCCCAAUACCAGUUAAGUGGGAAACGAUGUGGGAAGGCUUAGACAGCUAGGAGGUUGGCUUAGAAGCAGCCAUCCUUUAAAGAAAGCGUAAUAGCUCACUAGUCGAGUCGGCCUGCGCGGAAGAUUUAACGGGGCUAAACUGGUAACCGAAGCUGCGGAUGCAUAUUUAUAUGCAUGGUAGAGGAGCGUUCUGUAAGCCGUUGAAGGUGAACCGGGAGGUUUGCUGGAGGUAUCAGAAGUGCGAAUGCUGACAUGAGUAACGACAAGGGGAGUGAAAAACUCCCCCGCCGGAAGAUCAAGGUUUCCUGCGCAACGCUAAUCGGCGCAGGGUGAGUCGGCCCCUAAGGCGAGGCAGAAAUGCGUAGUCGAUGGGAAACGGGUUAAAAUUCCUGUACUUCUUUAUAUUGCGAUGGAGGGACGGAGUAGGCUAGGCCAUCAGGGCGUUGGUUGUCCCUGUUUAAGGUUGUAGGCUGGCGGUUUAGGUAAAUCCGGACUGCUAAGGCUGAGAGCUGAUGACGAGUGUUAUCGGAAGGUAACGCGAAGUGGUUGAUGCCAUGCUUCCAAGAAAAGCUUCUAAGCUUCAGAUAUAAAGGAACCGUACUGUAAACCGACACAGGUGAUCAGGUAGAGAAUACCAAGGCGCUUGAGAGAACUCGGGUGAAGGAACUAGGCAAAAUGGUACCGUAACUUCGGGAGAAGGUACGCCGGUUUGGGUGAUGGGACUUGCUCCCUGAGCCUGGGCUGGCCGAAGUGACCAGGUGGCUGCGACUGUUUAUUAAAAACAUAGCACUCUGCAAACACGUAAGUGGACGUAUAGGGUGUGACGCCUGCCCGGUGCCGGAAGGUUAAUUGAUGGGGUUAUCUUCGGAGAAGCUCUUGAUCGAAGCCCCGGUAAACGGCGGCCGUAACUAUAACGGUCCUAAGGUAGCGAAAUUCCUUGUCGGGUAAGUUCCGACCUGCACGAAUGGCGUAACGAUGGCCACACUGUCUCCACCCGAGACUCAGUGAAAUUGAAAUCGCUGUUAAGAUGCAGUGUACCCGCGGCUAGACGGAAAGACCCCGUGAACCUUUACUAUAGCUUCACACUGGACUUUGACCUUACUUGUGUAGGAUAGCUGGGAGGCUUUGAAGCGGUGGCGCCAGCCAUCGUGGAGCCGACCUUGAAAUACCAGCCUGGUAAUGUUGGGGUUCUAACUCAGGUCCGUUAUCCGGAUCGAGGACAGUGUGUGGUGGGUAGUUUGACUGGGGCGGUCUCCUCCCAAAGAGUAACGGAGGAGCACGAAGGUGCGCUAAUCACGGUCGGAAAUCGUGAGGUUAGUGUAAAGGCACAAGCGCGCUUGACUGCGAGUCUGACAAGACGAGCAGGUACGAAAGUAGGUCUUAGUGAUCCGGUGGUUCUGUAUGGAAGGGCCAUCGCUCAACGGAUAAAAGGUACUCCGGGGAUAACAGGCUGAUACCGCCCAAGAGUUCACAUCGACGGCGGUGUUUGGCACCUCGAUGUCGGCUCAUCACAUCCUGGGGCUGAAGCCGGUCCCAAGGGUAUGGCUGUUCGCCAUUUAAAGUGGUACGCGAGCUGGGUUUAGAACGUCGUGAGACAGUUCGGUCCCUAUCUGCCGUGGGCGUUGGAGAAUUGAGGGAAGCUGCUCCUAGUACGAGAGGACCGGAGUGGACGAACCGCUGGUGUUCGGGUUGUCAUGCCAAUGGCAUUGCCCGGUAGCUACGUUCGGACAGGAUAAGCGCUGAAAGCAUCUAAGCGCGAAGCCCCUCCCAAGAUAAGUUCUCCCUGACCCCUUGAGGGUCCUGAAGGGCCGUCCAAGACUAGGACGUUGAUAGGCUGGGUGUGUAAGCGUUGUAAAGCGUUGAGCUAACCAGUACUAAUUGCCCGUGAGGCUUGACCAUAUAAUCCA